GUCUAUGGCCAGACCACCCUGAACGUGUCCUAUCUUGUCUCACCUUGGAAACUAAGUAGGCUCGGGCCCCAUCAAUACUUGAAUGGGAGAAGUAUGGGUGCAUGUUCACCAUAAAAU
rnacentral:rRNA from 1 species